rnacentral:rRNA from 1 species
GAUGAACGCUGGCGGCGUGCCUAACACAUGCAAGUCGAACGAACGGACCAGAAGUUUGCUUCUCUGAUGUUAGCGGCGGAGGGGUGAGUCACAUGUGGAUAACCUACCUAUAAGACUGGGAUCAUCUCGGGAAACCGGAUCUUAUCACGGAUGAUCUUUUGCACCGUGUGGUUCAAAAGUGAAAGACGGUCUUGCUGUCAGUAAUAGCUGGAUCAGCGCUGCAUUAGCUAGUUGGUAAGGUAACGGCUUACCAAGGCGACGAUGCAUAGCCGACCUGAGAGGGUGAUCGGCCACACUGGAACUGAGACAGGGUCCAGACUCCUACGGUAGGCAGCAGUAGGGAAUCUUCCGCAAUGGGGGAAAGCCUGACGGAGCAACGCCGCGGGAGUGAUGAAGGUCUUCGGAUCGGAAAGCUCUGUUAUGAGGGAAGAACAUAUGUGGAAGUAACUGUGCACAUCUUGACGGUACCGAAUCAAAAAGCCACGGCUAACUACGUG